CAAGUCGUGGGGCAGCGCGGGUAGCAAUACCUGGCGGCGACCGGCAAACGGGUGCGGAACACGUACGCAACCUUCCUUUAAGCGGUGAAUAGCCCAGGGAAACUUGGAUUAAUACACCAUAAGACAGUGGGGUGGCAUCACUCAGCUGUUAAAGCUCCGGCACUUAAAGAUGGGCGUGCGGCUGAUUAGGUAGUUGGCGGGGUAACGGCCCACCAAGCCGACGAUCAGUAACUGGUGUGAGAGCACGACCAGUCACACGGGCACUGAGACACGGGCCCGACUCCUACGGGAGGCAGCAGUAAGGAAUAUUGGUCAAUGGACGCAAGUCUGAACCAGCCAUGCCGCGUGGAGGAUGAAGGCCCUCUGGGUUGUAAACUUCUUUUAUCUGGGAAGAAACCGGACUUUUCUAAGGCCGUUGACGGUACCAGAUGAAUAAGCACCGGCUAACUCCGUGCCAGCAGCCGCGGUAAUACGGAGGGUGCAAGCGUUAUCCGGAUUCACUGGGUUUAAAGGGUGCGUAGGUGGGCAGGUAAGUCAGUGGUGAAAUCUCCGGGCUUAACCCGGAAACUGCCGUUGAUACUAUCUGUCUUGAAUGUAGUGGAGGUGAGCGGAAUAUGUCAUGUAGCGGUGAAAUGCUUAGAUAUGACAUAGAACACCCAUUGCGAAGGCAGCUCGCUACACUAUUAUUGACACUGAGGCACGAAAGCGUGGGGAUCAAACAGGAUUAGAUACCCUGGUAGUCCACGCCCUAAACGAUGGAUACUCGACAUCAGCGAUACACAGUUGGUGUCUGAGCGAAAGCAUUAAGUAUCCCACCUGGGAAGUACGACCGCAAGGUUGAAACUCAAAGGAAUUGACGGGGGUCCGC
rnacentral:rRNA from 1 species